rnacentral:lncRNA from 1 species
CCCUCGAUGAACGAUCCUCUCCCUGCCUUAGACGAUGAAGUGCCUAACCUUGCCCCCGUUUUAUGUCUAAGGUCGGUGUCAUCCUGAACUAACACUUGCUUGUGCUGUGGUUGCUUGUUUUGUAGAAAUUAUGGGCAACUUCACUUGGAGCCCCUUGUAAAGCAGGUCAGACCUGUAGGUGGAAUUGUGCCACCGUCUACUGUUGCCCCUACUACUGGAGAAGAGGGUCAACCUACUGGUGAGGUUGGCCCUAUUGCUGCUAUUGUUGAGGUCACCCCCGGUGCCCCUUCCUCUGUUUUGGCAAAGAGGAAAUGAGAUGAUGGUGCUGGGCCACCUGUCC